AGGAUUUUGUUCUGAGAUCCUGUUCUGCAUCCUUGGCUCUCUCCCGACAAGGCACAAAACUGCGGUGAGCUGGGUCAUGUGACUUAAAAGAGGAAAUUAAAUGAAGUUUAAACCCGGAGCGAGUCUUAUCUGGGGAAUGCUGCAGAUAGCAGAACAAUUAUUCAGAGCAAUGAAGGGACCAAAGGGGCCAUCCUGCAGGUGUUCCCAUAUUGUCCCUGGGCUCCGGGCAGAGAAUGGAGGGAAAACGUGGAAAAGUUUUGAACCUGAAUGUCAGAGGCCCUGUGACAUUAUCACCCCUCAGGGCGAAUGUGUCCCGGGCAUUGUCCUUUUCUGUUGGAACAAGCUCCAGGAUUCUCACUGCUACCCUUGGCUCACAGAGGGUCAGUGACUGCUCGGAGCAGAAGGAGAUUGGGCAGUGCAGAGAGGGCUUCAGGAACAGCCCAGACCUGGAGUGACCGGCACUGGAAACCUCUCCCCUCCUCCUUGGGAGAGACAUCUGACUUUUGUUUUUUGAAGUUUUGAGCUAUCUUGUUUAGUUUCUGACCCUCUGCCUUCUAAACGCUUCCCACUGUGAGUCUGAGGAGGAGACAGUGUCCCUUUUCUCCUUAUGAAGGCCAAAGAGAGUGUGUGAGAAGCUUGCUCCCUGCUCCUGGAGGCCCAGGCAGGACACAGGAGGGUCGAGAAAGUGCACUAUCCUUGCUUGUCCUAGUCAUGUGACAAAGGCUUAGUGUCUUGGCCCCUCUGUUACGUCCUCUCUUCCUAGUGGCCCUCCCUUGCUCCUCACCAAGACAAGAAGCAAAACUGAGCCAAUGGAUGAGUCUGGAAGUGGAAUUUGAGCACGGCUGGCCGGAUUCUUUCAUCUUCUUCUUUGGC
rnacentral:lncRNA from 1 species